CAAGUCUAAAAAAGUUCAAAGUAACACAGUCAAAGGAGUUUUCCUUAGCCUAGUCUGUUUUGAACCGUUAGCAGUCUGUAAACUAUAUUUAGAGCCAGAUUUUGUACUAAUAAGGUCCCCCGUUUGGUGUAAUUUUGUUGGCAUACUUUUUUUUGCCAUUAUUUUCAUACUUUUUUGUCAGCUUAAUUGAUAUUUCACAACUGACUGUUGAGAAAGAGGUUCUUUUAAUAAUUGUAUAGAUAAUACUAUUGACCAUGACAGUUAAGACAGUUAAGAGGUUGCUGAUGUGGCAAUUAUGUGGCAAUUAGUUAGAACUGUCAUGGCAAUUAGUUAGAGUUGUUAAACUACUUUCUUAGAGUGUAAGAAAGGCUCUGGGGCUCUAUAUAAAGUGUGUAAGGAUUCAUUGUAAUCAUCUUGAGGAAUAUACAAUCUUUCAUAAGCUUUCUUUCUCUUCUCAGCUCAUAUCUCUCUCUUUCUCUCUCUUCUCAGUGUUUUUGUGCAAGAAUUGCUGCUACUUCAGGUUCUUGAUCUUCAAUUCUUACAAGUGCACACAAUCUGUUUGAUUAAAUGCAUAAGUAUGAAAAUGGGUAUUAAUCUGUCAAGAAAUGAGGUCAAUGCCAUCUUUGAUAUAGUUUGUGAGGGAUUUUAAGGACGAUAUCCAUUCCUUCUUCGAAAAUAUUUGAUGAUAUACUUAGAAAGGCUGAUAGCCAUUGAGUGAUUUGUUCUCAUUGUCAGUAAGGCUAAUAGCAAUUCAGUGAUUGAUCUGUUUCUUGGAUCUAAGUAGUUUGCUCAUUUCAGUCACUAAUUUCUUGAUCGAAUUUUGUACCUAGGUUAUUAAUAUUAUGGCAGGCUCUUCUAUUAAGAUUGAGGGUUUACUAGGGAUUCCUACAGUGAAGUUACAUGAUGAGAAUUUUGUAAAAGGUGCUUAAGGGUUACGCUUUGUUUGACUUUUUCACUGGCGAUUCAUCAUGUCCUCUUAAGUUUAUCAUCAAUACAGACACUGGUGUCAUGAAAGAAAUUACAGUGUCAUAUAAAGAUAGGGUAAAGAAAGAUUUGGCAACAAAAAUUACAAGUCUAGAAUUUCACCAAAAUGUCAGAUUUGCUCAAGGAGAGGGCACACUGCACCCAAUUGUUAUUACAGAAUUGAUAAUGGUCCUACAGUAGGCUUUGUUGUUUGUCAGAUUUGUUAGAAAAUGGGACACAUAGCACUUGAGUGUUAUCAUAGGAACACUUCUCAUAUCAAGGUAAUCAAUCCAUCACACAUCUCUCUCACUGCAAUGACUGCACAAGCUCAUAUUAGUCCAUAGAAUGUUCCAGUUCAUAAUGAUAAUGAAUUCUCAAAUAGUGAAGCACGGAUUAUGGACACAUGGGCCACACAUCAUAUGGCAGCCAAUGUUAAUGCUUUAUCCAAUGUUAAUCCUUACAAUGGAGAUGAGAAGAUAAUUAUUGGCAAUGGUGAAGGACAAAGCAUCAAGGGUGAUUUUGUACCAAGGAAUGAGUGAUGGUGGGGAACUUUUCAAGAUUUUAGUAAAUGUGCUUGCCAAUUCAUUUGCUUCAAGGCUAAGUAGGUGUGCUGCAUUAUUGGGGAAGAAAAUACAUACUACUGUUUGGCAUCAAAGGCUAGGACAUCCAUCUAAGGAGGUGUUGGCUGUAAUGUUAAAAGAUUUAAACAUCUCGGUUAAUAAAGAUUCCUGUCAGCUUGUUUGUUCUUGUAUUCAAGGGAAAAUGACUAGGCAAGUAAUUUCCUGUUAGACAAAAUAGAGCUAGUUAUAUGUUUGAAAAGAUACAUUAUAAUGUAUGGGGACCAACUCCAAAACAAUCUGUAGAAGGAUAUAGAUAUUACAUAAGCUUUGUAGAUGAACUCUCAAGAUUCGUGUGGAUAUUUCUAAUGGUUAAUAAAUUCUUUGUGAGA